rnacentral:rRNA from 1 species
AUGAACGCUAGCGGCAGGCUUAACACAUGCAAGUCGAUGGGUAGAGGAAGCUUGCUUCCUUGAUACCGGCGCACGGGUGCGUAACGCGUAUGCAACCUACCUUUUACAGAGGGAUAGCCCAGAGAAAUUUGGAUUAAUACCUCAUUGUAUAUAUCAUUCGCAUGUUUGAUAUAUUAAAGUUCCAACGGUAAAAGAUGGGCAUGCGUCCUAUUAGCUAUAUGUUAAGGUAACGGCUUACCAUGGCAACGAUAGGUAGGGGUCCUGAGAGGGAGAUCCCCCACACUGGUACUGAGACACGGACCAGACUCCUACGGGAGGCAGCAGUGAGGAAUAUUGGACAAUGGGCGCAAGCAUGACCCAGUCAUGCCGAGUGCAGUAAGAAGCAUCUAUGGUGUGUAAACUGCUUUUGUACGGGAAGAAACACUCCUUCGUGAAGGAGCUUGACGGUACCGUAAGAAUAAGGAUCGGCUAACUCCGU